rnacentral:rRNA from 1 species
GAUGAACGCUGGCGGCGUGCCUAAUACAUGCAAGUCGAGCGAACAGAUGAGGAGCUUGCUCCUCUGACGUUAGCGGCGGACGGGUGAGUAACACGUGGAUAACCUACCUAUAAGACUGGGAUAACUUCGGGAAACCGGAGCUAAUACCGGAUAAUAUAUUGAACCGCAUGGUUCAAUAGUGAAAGACGGUUUUGCUGUCACUUAUAGAUGGAUCCGCGCCGCAUUAGCUAGUUGGUAAGGUAACGGCUUACCAAGGCGACGAUGCGUAGCCGACCUGAGAGGGUGGUCGGCCACACUGGAACUGAGACACGGUCCAGACUCCUACGGGAGGCAGCAGUAGGGAAUCGUCCGCAAUGGGCGAAAGCCUGACGGAGCAACGCCGCGUGAGUGAGGAAGGUCUUCGGAUCGUAAAACUCUGUUAUUAGGGAAGAACAAAUGUGUAAGUAACUAUGCACGUCUUGACGGUACCUAAUCAGAAAGCCACGGCUAACUACGUG